CAAUAGCGUAUAUUAAAGUUGUUGCAGUUAAAAAGCUCGUAGUUGGAUUUCUGGUGGGAGCGAUCGGUCUGGCGCUUAGCGCGAGUACUUGCAUCGUCUCCGGCCAUCCUUGGGGAGAGUCUAUCUGGCAUUAGGUUGUCGGGCAGAGGAUCCUCAUCGUUUACUGUGAAAAAAUUAGAGUGUUCAAAGCAGGCUUAUGCCGUUGAAUAUAUUAGCAUGGAAUAAUAAGAUAGGACUUUGGUACUAUUUUGUUGGUUUGCGCACCAAAGUAAUGAUUAAUAGGGACAGUUGGGGGUAUUCGUAUUCCGUUGUCAGAGGUGAAAUUCUUGGAUUUACGGAAGACGAACUACUGCGAAAGCAUUUACCAAGGAUGUUUUCAUUAA
rnacentral:rRNA from 1 species